rnacentral:rRNA from 1 species
ACAGAGGGUGCAAACGUUGUUCGGAAUUACUGGGCGUAAAGCGUGUGUAGGCUGCCGUGCAAGUCGGAUGUGAAAUCCCCGGGCUCAACCCGGGAAGUGCACCCGAAACUGCAUGGCUUGAGUACCGGAGAGGUUGGUGGAAUUCUCGGUGUAGAGGUGAAAUUCGUAGAUAUCGAGAGGAACACCGGUGGCGAAGGCGGCCAACUGGACGAGUACUGACGCUGAGACACGAAAGCGUGGGGAGCAAACAGGAUUAGAUACCCUGGUAGUCCACGCCGUAAACGAUGGGUGCUAGGUGUCACGGGCUUUGACUCCUGUGGUGCCGUAGCCAACGCAUUAAGCACCCCGCCUGGGAAGUACGGCCGCAAGGCUA